rnacentral:piRNA from 2 species
UAAUCCCCUUUACCUUGAGUUGAUAGC